AUGAACAAAAGAGGGGAGACUGUGCAUCCGGUGUUGAAUGCUACAUGAAACAAUAUGAUGCAUCGGAGAAGAAAGCAAUUGAAGAGAUACAAAAUAUGGUCGCAAAUGGAUGGAAGGACAUCAAUGAAGAUUGCAUGAGGCCAACUAAUGCUCCAAUGCUUCUCCUUCAACAUAUUGUUAACCUUGUUCGAGUUACCGAUGUCAUGUAUGGGGACGAUGACGACGCCUACACAAUCCCACUUAAGUUUAAAAGACUAUGUCACUUUAUUAUAUGUUGAGCAAGUGCCUAUGUGUGAAUAAUGGGGUUGAAUUCUUACGUUGAGCUCUUUAUGAAUGUUGCUGAAUGAAUGUAUUGUAAUAAAACGAGCAAGUGCCUAUGUGUAAAUAAUGGGGUACUGACUAGCUCGUGAACAUUAUAAUUUCUAAGAUAGACUAUAAGUGUGUGUGUGAUUGUUGUACUAGAUGUGUGUGCUUUUUUUCCUCAUAUAUAUAUAUAUAUAUUGAAUGUAAAAGUUUAAUUAGUUUGAAUUCUGCUUAUUAAGAAAGUUAAAUCUUGUUGUGAGUUAUUUAUUCUAAAUUUUAUAUUACUUAUGUAUUUAUUUCAUAUAGGAUUGUUGGUUUUAUCACUCUCCCUCUCUAUGUAAUCUAUCUUUUGAGGUUUAUAAAAUGGAAUGACCUUAAAAAUCUUAUGUAUUUAAAAUGAAUUUUUUUCCAACUAACUUUUGUGUAGAGAAUUAGCACUAAUUUUUUACCUUGUCAUAAAAUAUGAUACCCUUUGUUGCUAUCCAAUUUUUUACCCAUGUUUUGAUAAAUUUUCAGAAAAAUCCAAAAAUAGCGAAAAAUAAUGAAAAAUCCAAAAAAAUAAGAAAAAUCAAAUUUACAAAAAAAGAAAGAAGUUGAGGGACCAAGUUUGGAAACCUAACAAUAUUUUUGCCUAUAAAUAGAAGUUUUCAACACAUACACAAAGAGGGGUAAUUUUGAGACAGAAAAAUUUAGGGCAACUACAAAAACAAAAAACCCUAAACCUAAAUUUUCUCUCUCGGCCAAAAGGUGUCGCCGCGCCCCCCCCCUACGUUUGGAUUUUUGACCUUUUUCCCCUGCACUUCCUCCUCUUCCCAAGAUUUGUCCAUCUUCUCCUCUCACAGCCCCGGUCUCUCUUCCCUCACACUACCGAACACCAGCCCUUCCUUUUCCUUGGCUAAAACCAAAACGACUUGCUUCCCUCUCAACAGAUUCUCCUCCAUUUUUGCCCACCAAAAAUCAGCGCCGUCUCCAGCUCCUUCUCCCCUCAGCCACGACCUCUCUCCUUCUCCAAGACACAGCAACUCCAUUUUUCCCCUUGGCCGACCUCCAUUGUUCCCCCCAUUUUCCCCCUCUGUUACACAGCCUAGCCUAUCUACAGUCUCCCUCUGCUCUCCCAGCCGACCCAACGGCCCCAUUGUCGGCUUUCACAAACAAGCUCUCUUCCUCGGCCAACCGUUCCCCAGCUCUAACCGACCUCUCUCUCAGCCACCGUGAACAGACCACCCUCUCACUCUCCUCUCAUCCGGUCUUCGCCGUCAGCAGCAGCAUCCCCCACAGACCCAGAUCGGUCCGCCGCUCCUUCCUCCUUUGCUCUUUCAGCCGCUCCCGUCUCUGGUAAACAGAGACCCGGCUCUCGUCGGCCAGUCUUCUACUGCAGCUGAGACACACAACGGCGCCCACAGACCCACCAUUGUCCAUUUCCCCAGGGACGACACCCACAGCUUCGACCUCCAACACUCCUUCCACAACCGCCAGAUCUGUCGCUUGAAGAAGAAGGAAAGAAUAACAAACCCAAACAGAGCAGCAGACCCGAGAACAUACCUGCACAAAAAGACAAAUUAAAAUCAACUGCCUGUUGUGUUUUCGGUUGUUUUGCAAGUCACCGCCGGUGUAGGGAGACAGAGAAGAGGAAGACGUUCCUGAUCCACCAGUUUUAUUGCCUUCAUCGGCGGCGGCGCAUGAACCCACGCGCCGCCAGUGGCGGUGGAGCAAUGUGCUGCCACUGUUCCACCACUGUUCCCGAGGGUUUGAGUUGUAUGUUGCAGCGUGGUUGUGGUAUGGGAUUGAUUGAGGGUCUAAAUUUCAGCAAGACUGGUCUUGUAUUAUCUCACCUUCAGUUUGCGAAUGACACCCUUAUAUUCAGCUCAGCUUCCUUAUCUAGUUUACAGAAUGUAAAGCGUAUCCUUUUGUGCUUUGAACUUAUAUCGGGGCUGAAAGUUAACUUCUACAAAAGCAGUAUUAUUGGAGUGGGUAUAGAAGAUCAUAUAUGUAAUUACACAGCUCAGAUUCUUAGAUGCAAACAGGAACAACUCCCCAUCAUAUUCUUGGUCUCCCCAUCGGUGCAAACUUGAGCAGAAUUUCGAUGUGGAAGCCUAUUAUCCACAACAUCAGCUGCAGGUUGGCUUCAUGGAAAGGCAGAUUCCUAUCUAUUAGGGGUAGACUGUGUUUAAUUAAAUAUGUCCUAAGUGACCUUCCCAUCUACUACUUAUCUCUAUUCCCUAUGCCUGCAGCGGUAGCAACCACAAUUGAAAAGAAAUUCAGAUCCUUUCUAUGGUCAGGAAAAGAGGACAGUAAGAAAUUAUUCAAUGUCAGUUGGGCAACAGUUACUCUUCCGAAAAGUAUUGAGGGUCUUGGGAUUGGAUCUUUAAGGGAUAAAAACAAAGCUCUGUUGUAUAAAUGGUUAUGGAGGUUUGGCUCGGAGGAAUCAAGUUUAUGGAAGGAAGUGAUCAAAUUCAUACACAACACUAAUUGCUCCAGUUUGAUGACGCAAGCUCCUCUUACAGGAGCUGGAAGCACAUGGACCCGUAUGGUCAACCAUUGUGUUAAAGACAACAGGUUACAGGAUAUUGUGUCUCAUCAAUCUAUGGUUCUUAUUGGAAAUGGCAAGAGAACCGUGUUUUGGCUUGAUACUUGGAUUGACAAUUAUUGCUUAGCAGAUCGCUUCCCUAAUCUUUUCCAUUUAUCCAAUGAUAAAGAUGCCAGCAUUGACAAGAUGGGAAUGUGGGAUGGGUUUGAAUGGAUCUAGUUUUUCUCCUGGAUAAGACCUUUGAGGGGUCGAAACAUUGGCUUGUUAGAUCAAAUGUAUGACGUCCUCUCAACGGUGCACUUAGACAACGAGGCAGAGGAUAGACUAAUCUGGAAGGACAAAAUUAGGAAGAUUCUCCGUUAAAUCUCUAUGUGGGUUGUUAAGUCCCACUCCCUAUUCUAACACUGGUUUCUCUUUUGCUGGGAUCUGGAAAGGUGUAGUCCCACCUAAAGUGGAGAUCUUUUGCUGGAUGGCUAUUAUUAAUAGACUUAACACCCAAGGUGUGUUGGUUAGAAGAGGUGUUUUGGACAGCUCAGAUUCUAACUGCCCUAUUUGUUUAAUUGAGGAAGAGUCGGUUGAUCAUGUACUUUUACAUUGCAAAAAGCAUUGGAUCAUAUGGUCCAAAAUCAUUAAGUGGUGGGGUUUAUCAUGGUGCUGCCCAAAGAACUUGUCAGGCCUAUUCUCUUAGUGGACUUUCAUGGUUCAUGGUAAAUUCCAGAAGAAAGCUUGGUUAAUGUUGUUUUUCUUAGCGGCAUGGUCCCUUUGGCUUUUCUAAAAUGAUCUGAUCUUUGAACAAAAGUCACCGAGCUAUGAUACAGUCUUUUUCCUUAUAGGUUGGCCUUUUUUGACAUUGCGUCAGCUACUUCAGUGGGCAUAUACAUACUUGAAAAAGAAGAAGGCAUUUACGCAUUUACUUGCUCGAUUAGCCCUCUCAACCUCGGUUUACUUCAUUUAGUAUGAAAGAAAUAAUUGAGUCUUUCAUAAUAUUACCGAUCUCAUCAGGAUGUUUGCGAGGAUAUUUUUUAUUUGGUCCAGUCCCAUUUGGUAGAGCUCGAACCAAGGUUUCACAUCUCAACUACAUUCAGGUUCAUUUCGCGCCUUUGAGAGUCAUGAAAUAUCAUUGCUCACUACUAAAAAUAGGGGCUAUUAGCAUCUGAAUUUAGCAACGGAUAAUUCAGUUGCUAAAUUCAGUAACAGAUUUGCAAUGGAUUAGCAUCUGAAUUUUGCAACGGAUUACACAAGUAUAGUUGAACAAUAUUAAUAAUAAACUUAAGAAGUUAGUGCUUUUAGCAUGAAGACGUGGAUUUCAGUUCCAGCAUUACAUUUGUUCAUAGAACCCAAUAGAAUCACACAAUUUAAAGGGUCAGUUCCACCAUUACAUUUGUUCAUAGAACCCAACAGAUUGAACCUGGGCUCUACUCAUGAAUAUUCUUUUCUUUUUCUUUUUCUUUUUCUCUAGAUCAAUUAAUUAUUUCAGUGUGUAAUUAUUUACAUACCGGUAAAAAAAUGGCUAUUUGUGAUGGUUUUCAUUUUCUAUAAGCUAACUUUUCUUAACAGGGUUCCACAUCAUACAUGCAUUUGGAUUGUGACUACUUUUUUGCACUUAUAGAUACAUUGGGAAGCCGCCCACGUUUGCACUUAUACACGCACUUUAGAUACAUUUCAAAUAUAGAGAGUUUGUGUGUGUCUAUAUAUACAUAUGUUUUGUGUGGGUCCAGUGUAAAAAAAGCAAACUUAGGUUAUAUUUCCAACCAGCUAAAUAAGCAAUGAUAGCAAACGAGAAAACAUACAUGUAUGAAACACUAAUAAACAACUAUUAAAAUUGAAAAAAAAAAAUGCUAUUAAUUUAGAUUGAAGGGUAAAAUUAAAAACAAUAAAACUUUUAUAAAAAAAUUAAGAAAAAAAAUCAUAAGAAUGGGGAUUAAAUUGAAAACAUCAACACAUUUUUUACAUAAAAAAUAUAAAUGUAAAUCAAAAAACUUAUAUACGCAUUCAAUUAAAUAAAUCUCAAACCAUUAUUUAAAUAAAUGAAAAAAAAAGAGUAAUUAAAGAUAAAUAAAAAGAUAUUAGGAAAAAUUAAGAUACUAGUAUAUAUCAAGAUAUUUAAUAUUUCAACAUACUGGUUGUGUUUAAUGAAUUUGUUUAUGAAAAUUAAUUUGUAAUAAAGAUUGACACGCAUAAAAUUUAUUGAAUAAAAAAAAUUAUUCAAGGUUACACAUAUUAAAAAUAUUAUGAAAAAUAAAUAUUUAAUCUAUAUAAAAUAUAUUAAAAAAUUAAAGAUGAAUUAUACUAAUCUUAGAAAAAACUUAAACACAACCAAUAUAAUUAAAAAAACAAUUGCUAUUCAAGGAGUGGUAAAAAACCUAAAGAAAUCAUAGAGAAAGGGUAUUAAUUAAAACAAAUUAAAAAAUUAUUGAAAAAACACAAAAAAUACAUUAAUAUAAAAAAUGAAAAAAAAAGAAGAAAAGAAAUGAGGUCAGGCAUUACUUGGCCAAGUAAGUAAGCCUAACGCUUGGCCCAAUAAAUUAAAAGGCUAGGCCCGGGUGUAGGCAUUUUAUUUUAUUUUUUCUAGUAUAAUUGGGUAGACGACACGUCAUUUGCAACAAAAAAUAGAUGGCGCACCAUCUAUUAAUCUUCGAAUCAAAACACUGUUUUGGCUUUAAAAAAUGGUUCUUUCUUUACAUCAAAAUAUUUUUUUAGCUCUUUUUGACCCAAAACACCUAAAAAACAUCCUAAAAAACUUAUUAAACCAAUCCAAGGCCUAAAAAAACACGAAAAACCACUCCUAACCCUGAAAUCAACCCAAAACCAAAAAUCUUCUCAAGCUUAGAUUUUUUUUUAUUGGUGUUUUCAAGGUCAAAAAAACACCUAAUAGAAACUUGUAACAUCCCCAUUUCUAGUACCAACACAUCUGUAAACCCUCGCAUAAACAUAGGAUCGUAGUAAAAAAAAAAAAAGGAAAGACCUCGAUGAGUAAUGGAGACUGAAUAUGAAAAUAAAUGAAUAUAUAGUAGAAAUAAUAAUAAUAAAUGCGAUAUGUAAGGGAGAGAAUAAGCUCCAUAAAUAAAUUUAAAGAUUUAAUGGUAUGGUGGAAGUUGAAAUGAGAGUUAUGAAUUUUCGAUUAAAAUUUGUAAUGUUAGCGAAACCGGAGAAGAACCUCAAUGGAUAAAAAGAUUAUUUUUAUAAAUCAGUGACGGAUGGGGUAAUAUUGAGAUUGGAUGUUUGGUUUCAGGUGGACAAUUAACUAUAAAUUAAAAGAGGAGAGGGGUUUUACUGUAACCCUCCUCCUUACAAAGCACUAUUUAUUAUAAUAGUAUUUUGUUUUGUUUGUUUUCUUAUUUUUUUUUGCUUUGUCUUUUUUUUUUUGUUUUUUUUAUUAAUAUUUUUUUUUUUCUAUUUAGUUAUCACACUUUCAUGACACGGUUUACAGGUUCGAUGUGCUAAUUUGGUUUGGCGGGUUGACACAGAUUUUUUUUAUUUUUCUUAAUUAAUUUUUUUCUUCCAGUUUCAUCCUUUAACAUUGAUAUGAUUGAGAAUUAAACUUCAUGAUUUGUUUUGUUUACUUUCAUUAAAUUAUCAUGAUCUCAUGACAUGAGAAUAAUUCUUAACGGAUUAACUAGAGUUAACUCGGGUUGUUUUUUGUGUCUUUUAUUUAUUUAAUUUUUUUUAAAAAAAAUUAUCAUUCAACAUUGGACUGGUUGGGAAUCGAAUUUCAUAAUCUAUUUUGAUUUACUUUUUAUGAGAGUAUCUUGGUCUUAAGAUUAAUGUUACGAGUUUGGGCAUUUUAACCCUAGUUGAAUCAAGUUGUUUUUUUUUCUAAGAGGUUAUAUUGGUCUCGUUAUAUGGGUUGUUGCUAUCCAAUUUUUGACCCAUGUUUUUAUAAAUUUUCAAAAAAAUAAAAUAAAAAAAUAAAGGUUUACAUGUGGCGAUAACAUAGAACAUCAGGGCUAAUAUUAAGAAGACAAGAUGUCAAGGAGAUAAUUAUUGAAUCAUAUAUAAUUAUUGCAAUAUAAAAUAUCAUAGAUAUAUGAUUUGAUUCGUGCUGGUUAUGGAAAAUAAUCACUGCAAUAUAAAAUACCAUAUAUAUAGGAUUUGUUGGUGCUGGUUAUAGAAGACAAUCUCUGCAAUAAUUAUUGCAAUAUUUCCUUGAAUAACACGUAUAAAGAUUUUCUAUAUAAGUGAACCUCCAGCCUCCAACGAUAAUAAAGGGGGAGGAGAAAAAUAUUCAAGAGGGAGGGGGCAAUUUUUCAGAAAAGAGGGGAGCCGAGCACCAAAAAACCCUAAAGAUAAAAAAAACCUAAACCCGUUUUUCUUCCUGGGCCGCCGGACACCAGCCUCCCUUCCCCCUCUCCUAGCCAACAAAAGGCAGCCGCUCAUCCUCUCUUCUUCUUCGACAGAGCCGUCUCUUCCCCAAUCUCUCCUCCAAAACGCAGCAGCUCCCAUCUCUUUUAGUCCCCCAUCUCCAUUCUUCCCUUGCAAAACCAGAGAACCCCAUUAAAGCCACAGUCCCUUUCUCCUUUUACACAUAGCCAACCACCUUCCCCGAUUUCCUCAUCUCACUCUUCCCGACAGCCCACUCAUUUCCAUUUCCUUCUGACAAGAACGAGAGAGAGAGAGAGCACCCAAAACCAGUCCCCCUCCUGGUCAUUCCCCUCUCUCGGCCAUUUCUUCCAUGCACCCGAAGCAGCCCUCUCUGUCAACGUAGCCCCAGACCGGCCUCCACUGAACCCCACAACAGCAGCAACUAUUUCUUCUCAGUAGAGACAAGACGGGAAGCACGGGAAAGAAAACCAGAGAACAAACGGACGAGGAAGAACACAACAGGGACGAGCAGAAGGAAAGAAGAUAAACAGAAGAAAACACAGAGGGACCAACCAGCACGCCCUCGCCAUCGCCUUUGUCCCUUCGUUUCCGUCUCCAGUAGUUUCUUCUCCUCCAGCGGUGCAAUGAAGCAGCAGCCCACAGGAAAACAGAGAAGGAGCAAGAAAACACAGAGGGAAGAACAUCCAUUCCGCCAGCACAUCACACCUUCAUCAUUGUCUUCGUCGUCUCCAGAUAAAGCAUCAGCAAGAAGAGAAAGACACAGACCAACACCAGUUUUACCAGCGUUCGUCAUUGUCUCCAUAAUCAGUGAUAACCGGUCGUGCGCAAGAAACUGCAGCAUCAUCAUCUUUGCCCGUCAGCUAUUAGGUAAGCGUCCUGCACUCUUUCCAUUCUUCAAAUUUAAUUACCUAGCCACUGUAGCAUGCAUAUGCAUGCAACAGUGGCAGAACCGGUUACUGGUUUGGGCCAGUAACCGGGUUAGGUUCGAAGGUCCAUCCUUUCUUCCUUUUUUUUUCUGGACUGUUCAGUUUUCUCGCAAACUUUGAGAAUAUAUGCGCAUGGUUUAUUAUUUUUAAUUGCAAUUAACUGUGAUGCUUGUGCUUUUUUUGACAAAAAAAUAUAAAAAAUGUUUUUGUGUGUUGCAUACGGCCAAUACCCUAACAUCUUUUGAACGUUGCUUUUUAUACAAAAAAUAUUGGAAGUUUUGAAAACGUGUUUUCGCAUGGAUUUCUUAAACAAAAAAAAAAUUGUUUUCUUGCAUUUCUGGAUUUUACAACAUGUUUGUAAAACUCCAAAGGGUAUUGGCCAAUAUUCCAAAAAAUAAAAAAUCUUAUUUUCAGGGAAAUUCAUCUAUUAUUCACCGUUAAUGUUUGGAUAAAGAAAUUCCAAAGGGAUGAAUAUCCAAAAUAUUUAAUGGGAAUAACAUGUUAUUAUUCACUGUAAAUAUUUGGAUAAAGAAACCCUAAGUGGUAAAUAUCCAAAAUAAUUUUCUAGGAAUAAUAAAUCCGCACACAUCCUUGAAAGAAGCCUUGAUUAUAAUCGAGGACAUUUCAAUUUCUUACUCCACGGUUUACGAGCCGUGAGAGUAUAAAACACUAAGGCAAAAAACAUGUUUUUUUAAAGCGCCCUAGAUUUCUAAAUUUUUGUCCCUCCUCCUUGCGAUUUACGAGUCGCAAACUCUUGAAAUACUAAGGGAAAAAUGAGAUUUCGAAGCACAUGGAAUCUCCUUGGAUUUCUAUCUUAAUAAAUUUAGUUUGAAUCAAACCUAGAAAAACUUAUGGGAUUAGAAAACACCAACACCAUAGCAAUUAUUAGGCAAACCAAACACCAAGCAACUUACCUUACGUAGGGCGUACUAGGGGUGCUAAUACCUUCCCUUUACGCAACCAGUCUCUUGCCUUAGAAUCUCUGAAAGAUCAGUUAGGUUUCCUAGUGACCAUAAUACUAGGUGGCGACUCCCUUAAACAACAAUAAAAAAAACCCCGAAAUCAACCGAUGGUCGUCGCGACGCCGCGCUCCGCCGCGAGGGUGCGACAUGGAUCACGAGUCCUUCAACAUUGAACUUGCUUUUUAUUGGGUUGUUCAUGUCUCGUGACCCAAAUCGUGUGUUAACCUAAUUGACUUUUUUUUCUCUUUUUUUUAAUUGAUUUUUUUCCCAAUUUCAUCAAUUAAUAUUGUGUUUAAUUGGGAAUUAGGCUUCAUGAUUUUUUUAUUUGUUUUUUAUUAUGUUAUCCUGGUCUCAUGACUUGAUAAUAGUGCUUAACGGUUAACUCGGGUUAACCCGGGUCGUUUUUAGGUUCUUUUUUAAUUGAUUUUCUUGUUCAAUUUCAUCCUUUAAUAUUGGGUUGAUUGGGAAUUAGGCUUAAUAAUUUAUUUUGAUUUGUUUUCUAUAGAGUUAUCAUAAACUCAUAACCCGAAUCAUAAAUUUGACACGUUAACCUAGGUUGUCCAAUGUCAAUCAAAUAUGUUGUUAUUCUAAUAUUAAGGAAAGAUAUCAUCUUGAAAUUUUGUUUAGUCAAAAUUUGUUUUUAUAGGCUGUAUAGGUUAUUAACACGAUUAAAGAGCUGAUGUCUUAUCCCAAAUGUAAGAGUGUCAAAGUAAUAAAUAACCCGGCAAGACCGGGGUCGAUCCACAAGGAGGUCAACUAUAUAUAUAAUUUAACAAAGAGUUAAAGAGAUCUUUGAGAUGUGAGAUUAAUAUGAGGAUUAAACAAUGAUAAAAACAGUUGUCAAGGUUAGACAAUCCACUAAUGGUAUUUCAAAUAAGUAUAGUAUAAACUCUUUUUAUUAAUCGGUUGUUUUAUCAUUAUUCGCUCAUUAUAAAUUAUUAACAUGAUCAUAUUAAUCAUCUUAUUUAAGUAACUCCAUACUUAUAAAUAUUAUCAGGUAUCCAUGAUGCUAACUUAUGUUAACAACAAAUCAAGUUCCUCUCAUAACAACGAUGACGACCGAAGACUAUGAAUGAUCAAGCAUUUAUUGUACAAAGUGUUAUACAACAUAAAUCUAGAUUAACCAUUUAAUAAGUAAGGUAUUAAGAGUGAAUAAGAUAAAAAUGAUAAGAUAUGUUAAUAGCAAACUUUCUUUGAUAUAAGCAUUGAAGUCCAUGUUGAGUUUAUAUUAUACUUAUUCUAACACCAUUAGUGAAACCUCUUCACCUUGACAUAAUUAAAUUAGCUAGACAUAAUGAAGAAGAAGAACAUAAAUAAACAAGAUAAGAACAUAGUUAUGAUGUAAGUUAACUAAGUAUAGUAAAGUAAAUGAAAAGCAUAAACAAGAGAUUAAUAUAACUUGAAAGAAAACUUAAACAUUACAAGGAGAGAAAACAAGAAAAUGAUCUUAAUCUGAAAACCAAGAUGCCUAAAUGUAUGAAAAAUUCCUCUUUUUAUAGGCUAAAAAGAACUAUUCAUUUGGUAAUUAACUAUUGAAUUAGUGGCCAACUAAUGACUUAGUAGACUUGGUGGUUUAGGUAUGAAUUUGUUUUCUAGACGAAAUGACCUUUCUACAAUUAUAAUUUGGCACCGUGGUCUUCAUAAAAGUUGUAGGCAUCUAUUUCCGCUUUCCACCAAAAGAAGAAUGAGCUCAUUUGGACUUCUAGAACUCACGAUAUGGACUAAACACUAAAUUAUGUCUGGGCUGCAGGACAGAUUCAAACUUCUCUUUUGAUGCUAAGAUUUGGACUCCAAAACGGCAGAAUUGAGUCUUGAACUCUUCAUGAAUAUCUUAGGACUAUUUCUCAACUUUCCAGCCAUAUAAACUAGACCUAAAUCCAAGGUUUACAGCUCCCAAUAUGACCCAAUGACUGAAUGGUGUUCCAGUUUGAACCAGCAUCUCUUCUCUAAACUUAGCCAUUUUCUUUGUCUUUUCACUUUCAAUAGUUAAUCACAUCAAUCAAUUCUUUGAAUUGUAAGAUAUGCCUACAUUUAAAAUGAGCAUUUACCAUAAAUUAAAGCUAUUUUAUAUUAUCAGACUUGUUAUUAUAAGACAUGUUUAAAUUAGAAAAUUUAAUGAUACUUUAAGUGCAAUAUGAUGAUAUAAAGCCUUAAUGAGAAUGCACUUUCAAGUACUAAUCAGUUAUAUCGGGUAAACCCUCAUACGAUUUAAUUUUUUUUCCACUAGAAAAAAUAUAUUAGCAACAUUUGAAUAUUUUUUUACAUUAAAAAAAUUGACUUCACCUUCGACUUUUAGCUUUCAUCUUCAUUAGGGGCAUAAAAACAUGUAUGUGUCUGUGGGGGGGUAAUCAAUGCUCUUCCAAGUCAAUGCUAGGUUAUGUAAGGGUAUUUAUAUGUGUAAGGAUUAUUAUUAUUAUUAUUAUUAUUAUAUGUAUCCAUGACAUAGUUAUUGGUAUAAAAAAAAUUAGCUUGAAAGCAAAGUAAAUCAAGAUUAAUCAUUGAAUUUCAAGAAUGAAUCUUAACCAUUCAUUUGAUAACUUGAAGACAAAGCAAAGAAAAAUGGACUCUUGAAUUAAAAGAAUAAUUGUAGACCAUUUUAUUAAAAAAAUAGGUUGCUUGUGUUGUUACCUAUUUUUGGAGGUUCCCACACAAAAAGAAAGAGAAAAAGAGAGAAUACAAAAAGAAAAUAAAAAAACAUGGUUGGAAGAAAACCAAAAAUAUAUAUAUUAGUGAGAAGAGGACACUAGGGCGCCCAAAAAUGGUUAAAGAUUGGUUGAGGAGGUUAAAAAACACAAAAAUUAAAAUUUAACAAUAUAUUUUCGACUAAUAAAGACCCUAUUGGUAAAGAAAAUUUAAUUUAAGGAAGAGAAAUUCAAAUUUUGAUGUUUAAGAACCCAAUUAGCUUUUGUUGAAGGUCUAAUUGAAUUUAUGAAGGGUUAAUUGCUAGAAAAUUGAUUUUUUAAGUCAAUUUGGGCUUUAAUUGGAAGAAAUUAAAGUUUUGAGGUUGAAUUAAAAUUUUUAAAAGUUAAUUUGGUCAAAUUAAGGGUUUAAUUGCAUAAAUAUUAAAGUUUGAUUGGUCAUUAAGGACUUGAAUGAAGAAAUCCAAAAUCAAGGACCAAACUGGAAAAGACACAUGAAUAUAGGAGCUGAUGCACAAAUUCAAAAACAAUGAUCAAAGAGAAAAAUGCGGCUAAUUUUAGGGCUAACAUUUGAAUUUGACAAGGUUGCAAUUGAAUUAAUUCUUAAAAUUAAAAUCGCAAUUGAAGAUUGGAUUGAACAAAAAAAAAAUUGAAAGCUAAUUCGGAAAUUUGACAAUUUUUGGUGCAUUUUUCUUUUAAAUGAAACGACGCGUUUUGUACAAAACAACGUCGUUUCACUCACUAUUCAUUAAAAAAAAACGAGGAGCAAGGUGUUGUUUUUACAACGUUGUACAUCAUCUUCUUCCUUUGGACGCGCAAAGGCAGGGAGGAGAAGGUUUUUCUUCCCCUCCUUUGUAGCACCUCUCUCUCUCUCUCUCUCUCUGAAACCCAAAAAAACCAAUAGAGGGGACAAGCCCUGCAGCGGCGCUGGGGUAGCUGCACAGUGACCGCCUCAACCACCUUACCUCUUCGCACGAUCCUUUAUUUUGUAUGCCCAACGACGAUCAACAACAUUCAUUAAAGGAUGAAAAGAAACCAAGGACGAAGUGUCGUUAGAGCGUAAGACUUGAAUUUCAUCUCGCAUAGCAUCAUGCCAAACUUCAUACUUGUCCGCAUCAGAGAAUGCAAUGGAUUCAUAGUUGGGAGGAGAGAGUACCCGACAGAUAAGGGCAGCAGCUAUGGAUGCAGACUCCGUCAAAUGUGCAGUCUUAGCCAGCUAUGGACAAAGGACCAUGGGAUGUUGAUGUGCGGUAGAACGAGAUGGAGGAGAACCUGAACCUGUAAGCUGCUGGAGAGGAUUUUCAUGUAUAUUAUUAUUAUAUGUAUCCGUGACCAAGUUAUUAUUAUCAUUACAGAAAUUCUAAAACAUGUUUGAAUUCUACUGUGUGCAAUGUGGAUCAAGAAACAAAGAACUGUGGACUUGCACAGUGGAUUUUCAUGCCUUUUUCAAGACCAUUUUGAUGUUUCUGUAGGUUUAGAAAGUCUUGGAAAAACAUACCAUAAGCUUGGACAGGGUUGGAGAAACAGACCAAGAGACAAUGAACUCGCACAGUGGCUUUUCACGUCUUGGAUAGGGUUACCGAAUUUUUUGUUUCCGUAGGCUCAGAAAAGAUGGCCUAUUAAUGUCAUCAUGAUGGUGCAUUAAAUACUCUGCCAACUUGGCUAUGUUCUUGUCCACUGGGAGAGCUGGGGUAGAAUUUGGUGAGAUUGGAUGUUUGGUAUCAGGUGGACAAUUUAUGACUAUUUUUGCGCUAGAGGUGGCUGAUUCUAAAGGGUUUGGUUGGUUUUGUUGUCAAUGUUUGGAGAUAGGUUAGGUUGAUAGCCGAAUUUACAAGAUUAUUUAAUGCUUUCUUGGUACUAGAUAUAUCUCUAUUCCACCGGCUGCUAAAUUGCCCUCUGCUGGGAUUUCAACUCUGGCCAUAAUGAAAAAAGACAAGCCAAAUAUGGCGACAAUUGGAAGUGAGGGGUUUACUUCAAAAUUCAUAUUAAUAUAAUUGCAUUACUUUCGAGGUUAUUAAAUAAUAAGAUAAUAUUUAGCAUAUAAUAAGUGUAAAUAUUUAUUUGUUUGUAAUUUUUCUUUACAAAAACAUUAUCCUUUUCUUUUAUAAUGUAAUAUUUUUUUAUUGAGAUUAUACUUAAUUAUUUAUAAUUAUCAUAAUUAAGAAAUUUAAUUAAAUUAUGAAAAGAUAAAGAUAUUUUUCACAAUUUAUUUGGUUAAUUUAUUUAAUAAUUCGUAAUCACUUAUUUGUAAUGAAACUUACUUUUUAAAGUAACCAGUGCACUUAUUGAAUCAUAAUUAUAUAAUAAUAUCAAUAAUUAGUAUUAUUACAAGAUUAUUUUCAAAUUACUUGGUGGUAAGAUAAGUUAUUGCAGUAUAAUAAAUAAAAGUAUUUUCAAAGGCGGCAUUUGCCAUACAUUUAGAUAUCUUGGUGUUCAAAUCAAGAUCAUUCUCUCUCUUUGUAUUUUGUAAUGUUGAAGUUUUAUUUUAUAUUAUAUUAAUCUUUUGUUUAUAUUUUUCAUUUCCUUUACUAUACUUAGUUAACUUAUAUCAUGUUUAUGUUCUUAUAUUGUUUAUUUAUGUUUUUCUUCUUCAUUAUGUUUAGCUAAGUUAAUUUUGUCAAGGUGAAAAGGGUAUACUAAUGGUGUAAGAAUAAGUAUAAUAUAAACUCAACAUGGACUUUAAUGUUUGAUACUAACAUGUUUUGUAUUUGUUAUCUUACUCAUUCUUAAUACCUUACUUGUUAAAUGGUUAGUCUAGAUUUGUGUUGUACAACCCUUGGUACAACAAAUACUUGACAUUUUCAUAGUCUACUGUAUGGUAUAACCGACACUUGUGCUAUGAAAGGAACUUGAUUUGUUGUUAACAUAAGUUACACCAUGAAUACCUGAUCACAUUUACAAGUAUUGGAUUACUCAAAUAAGAUAAUUAAUAUAAUCAUGUUAAUAAUUUAUAAUCCGAUUGGAAUCUCCUUUGUGUGUGGUUUCCAGUUUAGUAAUAAAAAUAGUUUAUACUAUACUUAUUUGAAAUACCAUUAGUGGACCCUCUAACCUUGACAAUGUUUUUUUGUUAUCUUUGUUUAAAUCCUUACGUCAUUAUCACAUCUCAAAGUUCUCUUCAACUCCUUUUCAUUUAUUAUUUGUAAUUUUAUAUAGUUGACCUCCCUGUGGUUCGACUCCGGUCUUGCCGGGUUAUUUAAUACUUUGACACUCCUACACUUGGGAUAAGACAUCAAUCUUUUGAUCGUGUCAGGUCCUAAUGCAAGAUCAAAGAGAAUUGGAUCCUGACAUAGGUCCCAAGAGAAUUGGGUCCUGACGUUGGACCGAAAAGAGUUAGGUCCUAAAGUAGGACCUAAGUGAAUUGGGUCUUGACGUAGUACCCAUCAACCUUGUGUUCUGAAACCAGACCCAAGAGAAUUGGGUCUUGAUGAAGGUCCCAAGAGAGUUGGGUCUUGACGCAGGACUCAUUAGCCUUUGGUCCUGAUGCCAGACCUAAGAGAAUUGGGUCCUCACGCUGGACCCAAGAGAUUUGGGUCUGAUGCUGGAUCCAUUAGCCUUGGGUCUUGACGCAGGACCCAAGAUAACUGGGUCCUGACGUCGGACCCAAAAGAAUUGGGUCCCGACGUCGGACCCAAGAGAAUUGAGUCAUGACACAGGACCAAUUAGCCUUGGGGAGGACACAUAUACAUUAUCAAUGGGUUCGAACAUCGGACACAAUAACCUUGGGUUUGGACACGGACCUUAGAGCCUUAGGUUAGACGGGGCUGCAAGACCUAAGUGAUUUGGGUCAACGCCUCUGCCACACCCAAGCAACUUAGGUUAGACAUCCCUUUCUAGCCCCAAGUUUCUUAGGUGUGGAAAGGGGAUGCUUGACCCAAGUUAAUAAUAAUAAUAAUAAUAAUAAUAAUAGCAAUAAUAAUUGAUUUUACCCUUAAAAUCAAAUCUAUGUUUUUUUUAUAGUAAUAAUAUUCAUUUUAAUUUUAAUAAUAUUAAUGAAUUGAAUAAUAUUUAACUUGUCUGUUCAAGUUCUUAUAUUUUUUAAUCUCUUUAAAAACAAUCGAUGGUAAUAAUACUUUUUCAAAAUUUACUAAUAAUAACAAUAACAAUAACAAUAAUAAUAAUUCUUAAUUUUACACUUCAAAUCAAAUCUAUUAUUAUUUUUCAAUAUUAAUAAUAUUUUUUUUCAUCAUUCUUCUCUACAAGGUCUGCAGACCCAACCGCAUGGGCCUGCAACCCCUGGGGGGUCUGUAGACCCAGGAGCACGGUUCUGCAGACCCAAGCGAGGAGGUCUGUAGAUCCAUUGCCCGAGUCUAACCCUAGCACCCGGGACAUGGCAGCCCCGACGCCAAGUUUCAACAACCUAGGGACUGCAGCCCUACCAUGCCUCACCAAAAUUGACAACAAUCGUUUUCUCCCCAACCAUCUAUUCAAUGCCAAAUGCUUCCCAAUGAAAAGAUAGCUCCACCCUCCCCAUGCAGUCUUUGCAACUCUAUAUUGCAAGAGCAGCUCUGUCAUUACACUACUCCAAUCCAUAGUGCUUUGUGUCUAGGUAAACAGUAACAGGGGCACUAAGCUCUUUUAGUAUAUUGUAUAAUACUCUAUGUUUACAAGAAAAAAAGUUAUGUUUUUCAAUGUGGGAUAAUAAACCUUUUUGGUUUAAAUACUUAAACUUAGAAGAAUAAGAUAAUAUUUUUUCAAUUUGGGAUAGAAAAACUUUUGAAAAAAAAUUUAAAACUUAAUUGUUUACAACAUUUAUAGCCUAUAUCCACAUGGAUUGUUUUUGAAUUUUUUCAUAGAAAAUAUUAAAACCUCAAAUAUUUUUUUCUAAUUUUCCGGUUUGACUCGAGUCAACCCGUGUAACCCGAGACCCUACCCUUUGACUGGGUUUAAAAACUAUGGCUGCCAUAAAAAUAUAACUUCAAAAAAUAUAAUUGAAAAAAAGGUGAUGUGACCGGUUAAAAAACUAAAAAUUGAAAAAAUAGACAAAACCUCAUCUCUUUUAUUUUAUUUAGGAGUUUUUUUAAAAAAAUAUUGAUUAUUUAACCCGGGACGUAGCGCGGGUCACAUAGCUAGUAACAUACUAAAAUUUGUCAAACUACACAAGAUCUCAGUGCAAUUUUCAAAAUCAAACACAUGCUAAAAACGAAAUUUAAAACAAGGUUUGAGGUUUGAAAUCAACUUUUCAUAAUGGCUGAAAUCGGGUUAAGGCUGUUGGAAACGAGACUAGACUAUUGAAAUCAGUCUAAAACACUGCUAAGACGUGUGAUCCAUAUGUCACUGUUAGAGAAUAAUAUAAAUCAUAUUGUAGCGGGGGCGUGACGUCGUCUGGCGACGGCAGAGGCUUUUGUCGUGCCACCUGGUGUGAGGUGUUGUGUGUUGUAAAGGGUUUUUGGAUUAAAUCAUAAAAGUAUGAUUAAUUUUUAGGAGUCGCCACCUAGUAUUAUGGUCACUAUGAACCUAUGGUCUGCGAGAGUCUGGGUAAGGGACUGGUUGUGCAAGGGGAAGACGCAUCACCCCCAGUGCACCCUACCUAAGGUAAGCUGCAUUGUUGUUUGAUUGUUUUUUCUAAGUUUUCUAAGUCGGGUUUCUAUUCGUUGGUCUUUUCUAAGGCUCAAGGCAGAUCUCUCUUCAUGAGAGAGUAUCUACCUUAUCGGGUUAAAUCCCAACCGUUCUAAAGUCUGAAUUUUAGCAUCGCAUUUUUACACCUUGUAUCUUUAAUACUUGAGGGUAUACUUUAUCGUGUAAUUUUACACCUCACAAUUAUUGAAGUCUACAUCUGGAUCCUAAAACAAAAGAUUGGAAAAAGAUUUUUGACAUGUUGGCCCAAUCCUAAUGGAUAAUCAUAAACUGGUUAUGAUAUCCAUUUUUAUUUUUAAAAACAUGAAAAAGAUGCAAUUUUUUUUUAUGAAAAUAUGCUUGGAAAAAUUUUAGGAUUUGACCGUAUGCAACAAAAUAUUUUUUUUCUUUUUUCUGAAAAUGUUUUGAAAUUUUUUUAAAAAUAAUUUUGGAGAAAACCAGGUAUUUUAAUACCGGAGUUGUAUUUUACAGUGUAAAUAUACAACCCGAUAUAAUGAAAAAUUGGUAGAAAAAUAUUUGAGAAAACCAUAAUUUUUUUAAAUGAUUUUUUUUGAAUUUUUUUUUAAAUAGAUGUAGUCCACUGCAUGAACAGUAGAUGUGAAUUAUAAUUCACGCCACUGUUCAUGCGUGAACAAUAGGACGUGAAUUAUAAUUCACGUCCAUGUUCACUCAAUGAACAGAGACGAAGAAGAAGAAGAAGAAGGGGAAAGGGAGAGAGGGCGGACAACCUGGUGCGGCGGUGGUCUGGCCGAGGAUGACGGUGUGCUGCCAAUGGUUGCAGUGGUGGAGCUGGUGGCUGGUGGCAGAGCAGGAUGAAAGAAGGAGAAGAAAAUCUGUAGGGGGAGAGGGACCGGCGGUCGCAGUGGUUAUUCUUCCACUGGUGUGGAUUUGGGUUCGCAGGGAGGAUGCACCGCUGUCUGUUGGUGGAGGAGAAAGGUGUCUGCGGGGCGGGGUCUUCAGGGGCUGAAGACACGGUGGAGAGAGAAGGAAGAAGGAACGUCUUGCAGAGCAGGGGCGGAGCAAGAAAAAAUAAUUAGGGGGGCCAAAUUAAACAGUAAAAUUUCUUGGAUAAUCUUGCAUGUCUAUUAACAAUAAAAUUUUAAUUAUUUUAUAUAAGGGAGGGGCUGGGAAAAAUUUCCUUAUAGGGGCCGGGGCCCCUGCCAGCCCCCUUGCCUCCGCCACUGUUGCAGAGGAGAGAAAGACGUUCAUGGUGGCUUAUUACAGACGCAGUGGUGGCUGGCCGGUGGUCUUGGCAAAGUUUGGUGGUGCUGAUUGCUCAAGGCGGAGCUGGAGGAAGAAAUGGUGACGGUGCUGGUUUCCUGUGGCGGAGGAAGAAAGAAGAAGAAAAUCUGCAGCGGGGAGAGGGAGGGAGGCUGGUUUUUUCGCUUACUUUGGACCCGCUUUUCUCCUCCCUCAGGUCACCAAUAAAGCCUAUAUUUAUAGGCGGUGGAAGAGGGCAAUCUCGUCUACACCGGGGUAAAAUUUCAGCUCUUGAUUCUGUUGGGAAGGAUCUCAUCCGUUGGCUCAAAGUAGGCAUGGUGCACUGUCAAAUCUGCAGAAAAAGCUGCCUGAGUUGGCAUGUUUAGGCCGACGCCGGCGCCGAUUAAUUGUCAUUCACACUGAACUAUUGACAUAGAGCUGUAGAGGAUCAUUUUCGUGCAUGUUUGGUUAAAUGUGGUGGAUGUUAGGUGCAUUAAAUGCACCUGCAAAGUACGUAACCUGAGCAGUUAUUUCAGAGAUUUAGAGGGCGUUUGGUAACGUGGCUGCGGGUGAGGUUCACCCGCAGCCACACUAAAUGCCGUUUGGUUAAAAAGAAAAAAUUGCUUUUUGAUGGUAGGACCCAUCAAAAUGUCAGCUGAACUGCAUGUCUACGAGUAGGGAAAAAACCAGAACAGUGGAGCAUGGCUCCACAGUGGAGCCAUGCUCCACUGUUGCACUGUUCACUUUAGUGAACAGUUUUUUUUUUUUAUGAAAAACAUGGUGAAAAGUUUAGUUUUUUUUUUCUCAAAAAACCAGUGCAGUUAAUUGAUUUCACUCGUAUUGUUCACGUGAACAUGAACAAUAUUGUUUUUUUAAAAAAUUAGUUUAAGGUGAAUUAAAUUUACUCGUAUUGUAAUCUCAAUUUUAUUCCUGAUAAUAUUUUACCUAAUUUUAUUGCACGCUCAAAAAAUCAUGAAAACUGUAGUUCUUGUCGAAUAAAUUUUGUACGUAAUGAAAUUGUAAAUUUUUUUUAAAAAAAUUGAGUUUUACUCGGAAAACAAGUAUUUAAUAUUAUUUAAUAACACUACAUAAAUUAGAAGGAUAUCGCAUGAUGACGUAACAUUUGUGGAAUUUAAUCGCAAUUCCAAUUAUGUUAUUGCCGGGUCCGACCCAGUUAAAAAAAAAUUCAGUUUUUAUUUUUAUUUUAAUUGUGUUUUAUUCAAAAAAUUAGAAGGAUAUCGCUUGAUGACGUAACAAAAAAUUCAGUUUUUGUUGUUGCGUGCUUAAGAAACCAUGAAAAAUAUAGUCAUUGUUGGAUAGAUUUCGUAUGUGAUGACAUUGCAUAAUGGAAUAAUAAAAAAAAAUUGAUAUCAAUAUUAUUUAUUUCAUGAUGUAAUAAUAGUAGUUAAAUCUACAAUAUUUAAAUUAAAAAUAUUUUUUAAUUAUUUUAUAACCUCAAUUUGAAAAUCAUUUUUUUAACCAAACACAUUAAACUACUUUUUGUUCAACCUCAAUUUCAACCACAGUUUUAACCAAACAUAUAUUUUUCCAACCCAACCUCAACUAAACGUACUUUUUAUAAAACAAUUUUUUUAAAACCACAACCACAACAGCAACCGCAAUACCAAACACGCACUUAAAGAAGAUGAACAGUACCAAAGUUCAUUUCAGUCCUCCCUCUUUAAAUUGCUUUCAAUUGAACCUCUAAUUGACCCUAAACUUUUGCAAUUAAGUCUCUGAUGAACUUUAAUUGGAGCCCCAAAGUUACACGCCUAUUGCGAUAUGGUUCUUGGUCUCGGAUUUAUUCAAUUUAGCCCCAUAAUUGACCCCAAAACUUCAAUUUUCUUGCAAUUUGGCCCCUAAUUUCAAUCAAUUAACUUGAUAAAAAUUAAAUUUGGUCUCUUAAAAUUCCAAUCUCCUCAAUUAGGCCCAAAUUAGGCUCCCAAACUUAAGUUUUCAUCAAUUAAGCCCCAAAUAAAAUUAAUUUGACCCAUUUAAAGUAUAAUUAAGUCCUUGCACUUAAUAAAAUCUUCAAUUGGACCCAAAUUAAUUCUUAAACAUAAUUAAAAUUUAAUUUGGCCCAUGAUUAAAUCAAAUUGGCCUAUUAAAAAUUUAAUUAUGUCAUUGGACUUAAUUUUUAUGCAAAUUCGUCCAAUAAUCAUUUAAUUUGACCUUGAAUUUGUAUUUUUUCUCCAUUUUUGGGCAUAAUGGGGUACAAUUAAGCCUUGAAUUUCCUCCAAACAAUUGCAGCUUGAUUCCCCGGCUUGCUUUCUCCACGUUGCCAGCCUUUAUUUUAUUUUUUUAUUUUUAUUUUGAAAAAAAAUUGAAUUUUGGGGAAUAGUCCAGAAUUGGGUUAUGACACAUAUCAUGGGACCUCACCUAAAAAUUUAAGCUAUUAGGUUGAGAUGGUUUUUUGACAUGGUAUCAGAGUCUUGAUGACCAAGCGAUCACGAAUUCGAAUCUCACCAUCCUCAUUUAUUUAAUAAAUAUUAAGCACAAGGUAAUGUGGACCUAUGCAAGUUUCAAACCCAAAGGGUAUUCACUUGAGAGGAUGUAUUAGAGAAUAAUAUAAAUCAUAUCCUAGGACCUUACCUAAAAGUUUAAGUUAUUCGGUUGAAAUAGUUCUUUGACAGCCAUCACUACUAUUAGCGUGUGGAACUACUGUGAAGGGGGAAAACAGGUUAUGUAAGGGUAUUUAUGUGUGUAAGGAUUAUUAUUAUUAUUAUUAUUAUAUGUACCCAUGACCAAGUUAUUGUUAUUAUUACAGAAAUUCUAAAACAUGUUUGAAUUCUACUAUGUUUGUAAUGUGGAUCAAGAGACAACGAACUAUGGACUUGAACAGUGGAUUUUCAUGCCUUUUCAAGACCAGUUUGAUGUUUCUGUAGGUUUAGAAAGUCUUGGAAAAACAGACCAUAAGCUUGGAUAGGGUUGGAGAAACAGACCAAGAGACAAUGAACUUGCACAGUGGCUUUUCACGUCUUGUACGCCCAACGACAGUCAAUAACAUUCAUUAAAGGAUGAAAAGAAACCAAGAAUCAAGUGUCGUUAGAGCGCAAGACCUGAAUUUCAACUUGCAUGGCAACAUGCCAAGCCUCGUACCUGUCUGCAUAAGAGAAUGCACUGGGUUCAUAGUUGGGAGGAGAGAGUACCCGACAGAUAAGGGCAGCAGCCAUGGCUGCAGACUCCGUCAAAUGUGCAGUCUUAGGCAGCUAUGGACAAAGGGCCAUGGGAUGUUGAUGAGCUGUAGAACGAGAUGGAGGAGAACCUGAACCUGUAAGCUGCUGGAGAGGAUUUUCAUGUAUAUUAUUAUUAUAUGUAUCCGUGACCAAGUUAUUAUUAUUAUUACAGAAAUUCUAAAACAUGUUUGAAUGUGUGGAAUGUGGAUCAAGAAACAAAGAACUGUGGACUUGCACAGUGGAUUUUCAUGCCUUUUUCAAGACCAUUUUGAUGUUUCUGUAGGUUUAGAAAGUCUUGGAAAAACAUACCAUAAGCUUGGACAGGGUUGGAGAAACAGACCAAGAGACAAUGAACUCGCACAGUGGCUUUUCACGUCUUGGAUAGGGUUACCGAAUUUUUUGUUUCCGUAGGCUCAGAAAAGAUGGCCUAUUAAUGUCAUCAUGAUGGUGCAUUAAAUACUCUGCCAACUUGGCUAUGUUCCUGUCCGUUGGGAGAGCUGGGGUAGAAUUUGGUGAGAUUGGAUGUUUGGUAUCAGCUGGACAAUUUAUGACUAUUUUUGCGCUAGAGGUGGCUGAUUCUAAAGGGUUUGGUUGGUUUUGUUGUCAAUGUUUGGAGAUAGGUUAGGUUGAUAGCCGAAUUUACAAGAUUAUUUAAUGCUUUCUUGGUACUAGAUAUAUCUCUAUUCCACCGGCUGCUAAAUUGCCCUCUGCUGGGAUUUCAACUCUGGCCAUAAUGAAAAAAGACAAGCCAAAUAUGGCGACAAUUGGAAGUGAGGGGUUUACUUCAAAAUUCAUAUCAAUAUAAUUGCAUUACUUUCGAGGUUAUUAAAUAAUAAGAUAAUAUUUAGCAUAUAAUAAGUGUAAAUAUUUAUUUGUUUGUAAUUUUUCUUUACAAAAACAUUAUCCUUUUCUUUUAUAAUGUAAUAUUUUUUUAUUGAGAUUAUACUUAAUUAUUUAUAAUUAUCAUAAUUAAAAAAUUUAAUUAAAUUAUGAAAAGAUAAAGAUAUUUUUCACAAUUUAUUUGGUUAAUUUAUUUAAUAAUUCGUAAUCACUUAUUUGUAAUGAAACUUACUUUUUAAAGUAACCAGUGCACUUAUUGAAUCAUAAUUAUAUAAUAAUAUCAAUAAUUAGUAUUAUUACAAGAUUAUUUUCAAAUUACUUGGUGGUAAGAUAAGUUAUUGCAGUAUAAUAAAUAAAAGUAUUUUCAAAGGCGGCAUUUGUCAUAUAUUUAAACAUUUUAGUGUUUAUAUCAAGAUCAUUAGAGAAAUGAGAUGUAAAUGUUUGAUUUCAUGAAAAUAGGGUUGUAGAGGAGGUAUUUCUCAGUUGAAUGGUGGUGGUUACGGUCUCAAAAGUGAUUGGAAAUGCCACUUUUACUCCCUAAAAGUGCUUACUUGAUCAGCCAAAAUUAUCGCAGCCGAACGACGUCGUAUAGUCUAUUUCUACCCAAUUAUUUACCAUAUUUUUGAAAAAAAAUAUGAAAAAUAGAUAAAAGCAAUAAAAGCUCAAAAAAUAUGUUCUUGUUGUAAUUGCGUUAUUUUCAGCAACUUUUCCAAAGAAUUUAAAAUAUUAAAAAAAAUACAUUUAAUUUUUAGUGAUUUAAUUAUAAUUAUGGAAUGGAGAUGACCGAUUUGAAAAUUCAAAAACUUCUUACCAAGCAAUUUUUUUUUAAUCUAAUAGUCUAUCAAUUUUUUUAAUCCAAUAGUUCAUUUUUUUUUUACUUUAUCUCCCAAGUUAUUAAAUGAAUAGUUAAGAUUUAUUUUUAAAAUUCAAUAAUUGUUUUUGGUUUGCUAUUCCUUCAAGCUAAAAAAAACUUUUUGCCUGUAAAUACAUGAUUACACACACAGAGGGAGAGAAUUUCAAAGGAAAAUUAGCCAUGCAAAAAAAUCAUACGGAACAUUUUCUUAUCGCGCGUGUUUCCCUUGACCGUCAACCAUGGCAGCGCGUACUUACACGUGCCGUGGUGUACAUGACUGUAGUUCUACUCUUUUUAUACGUGUUCCCUUUUCUCUGUUUUCAUACUGCGUUUUAUUGUUAAUAUUUUCAUACUUGUAAUGAUUUAUUAUUCUUUUAAUCACACUUAAAAAAUAUUUAUAACAUAUUUUUGUUUUGACGAGUGGAACAAAGUUGUUAGCUGAAAUGGGAAAGCGAUUGUACUUAUAUAUUUUUGUUUCCUACUUAUUCCCUCUUCUCUCUCCCUCUCUUUUGCACUUUUAUUUUGAAAAAAAUAUUUACAUCGAUCAUUUUCUCUAUUUUUCAUAUAUCUACUGUCUAUAUAAUUUCAUUAAUGCUUUAGCAAUUUAAUAUAAGUAUUCUCUAGAUUUCCGAAUAUAGAAGUAUAUAUUUCAAAUUGAAUUAUAUCUUUUAUUAAACAUUAUCGACUUUCAUCUACAAAUAUAUAAUUGUAUUUAUUUACUCCUACAUGUUUGGUUUCAAGUUAUUAUAUAUGGGUUUGGGAUCAACAAAUAUAUAAAGAAGAAAUUAACAUGACAUUUAUUUACUCCUACUUGUCAAACUACUUGCAUCAUAGGUGAUGAUAGUGACAAGAUUUUAGGCAAAACUCUCCUCCAUAAAAUUACUUUAAGCUCUCGUUUAUUUCAUAAGUUUAAAACUUUUAUAUAUUUGUUUGUUAUUAAAAAAAUUAGUGGACGGAAAAUAUUUUUCAGUCAAAGAAAAAUUUGACUUAAUUUACAGAAAAGUAUUUUUCUUUUAUUUUGGGUAGAAAACACUUUUUAGAAGUUAUCAAAAAUUUAGAAAUAUCAUAUUAUUUGCUGAUUAUAAUAAAUUUGGUUCUCAAACUUUUAAUUGCUAUAUAUAUAUUUUUUAAAAUCUUGUUUUUUCAAUUUCAUCCCUUAGAAUUUGAUUUAAUUAAAUUUUAUAUAUUAACUUUAGUCUUUAUUUUUAUGAUUGUUGUUUGCUUUUCUAUUAUCAUUUUUUUAAUUGAAAUUUUUUAUUUAUCAAAUUUGAUCCUCGUUCUUUUGAUUGUUACUUAUUUUAUUUGAAAUAAUUUAUGAAAUUGUAAUUAUUAUUAUUUUAAUUUCAUCAUCUUUCAAUUUUUUAUCUAUUAUAUUUGAUCUACUAUUUUGAUUGUUAUUUAUUUUAUUUGAGAUAAUUUAUAAAAUUAGAUUUUUUUUUUCAAUUUUAUUCUCAUUUAACUUUUUAAUUUAUAAAAUUUGUUCCUCAUUAUUUAAAUAAACUUGAAAAAAAAUAUUAAUAAGUUAUUUUCCAGUUUAUUUUCUAUGAUAUAACCAAACACUGAAAAAUAUUUUUCAACUUAUUUUACAUGACACCACCAAAUAUCAUAAAAUAAUUCACUUUAUAGGAAUUCAUUUUGCAAGAAAACCACUUUCCGAAAGAAAAUUACUUUCUAGCAAAUAAACGGGGUCUAAGUGAUCAUCAUAGAAUGCAAUCAAGUCUAUUAUAAGACUAUGCUCUCACUAGUCAUAUGAAGCCAUCUCAUUAUAAAAAGUUCAGGUCCUGAAACAAAUGUUUUACUUGUAAUUGGUAUUUGGAAUUGAGGUUAAUUUUUUUUUGUUAAAAUUUAAUUUUUUUUUUGUUUUAUAUUAAUUUUUUUAAUUGUUUUGAUAUGUUAAUGUGAAAAAUAAAUUUUAAAAAAUAAAAAUAUUAUUUUAAUAUAUUUUUUAAAAAAUAUACUCUAAAAAACAACCACUAACAAAUUUAAAAACACUUGCACUUGAGGGUUUAGCUGCUGUGGUCAACCGUGUGACUUGUUCCGCCCCCGUCCCGGGUUCGACCCUCUAUGUGCACGCCUGUCACCCCCGCAGUGCCUUACCUGCUCCUGGGCUUGCAGGAUGUCCAGUGGGCCGUGGGGAAUAGUCGUGGUGCGCGUAAGCUGGCCCGGACACCCCACGUAAAUCAAAAAAAAAAAAAAAAAAACACUCAUUUAGCAUCAAAAUCACGUCCAUCUUUUUUAUUUUUAUUAUUAUUAUUAUUAAGGAGUUCAAUAAGAAAAGGUAUAGUACAAAACGUCAUGCUAUUUCCCUAUAAAUAGCCUUCCUUUGAUGAUGAUUUAGGUACUCGAGCAUCAAAGUCUCUAUUUCAUUCAAGAAAAUGGAAACCCAAGCACAUUUAACAGCAAACAUGAAAUAAUAUCUCACUUCUCUCGCUUUUUUUAAUGAUAAAUCAUAUGUAUCUUUUGUUGCCACACCUCUGAUCAUAUGUUGUACUUUUGUCUAGCUGUUGAUUACUUUUACUUUAAACAGAGACAAAAACAUUAUCAAUAGAGUAGAAAAAAACAAAAACACGUUAAGGAUUACUCAGUGCUAUCAAUUUAUAUUAACUGAAUAUUUAACUGCAGGAAUUCGAGUCAUACAGCCGACAAGUAGAAGAGUUGAAGGAAAAUAUGAAGGACAUGCUGAUGGCAUCCAAAAAGGAUACAGUGGAACAUAUUGAAUUCAUUAAUCUGUUAUGUCGGCUUGGUGUGUCAUAUCAUUUUGACGACGAGAUUGAAAACAGCCUGAAAGAAAUUUUUGAUGACCUUCCUCAUCUUCUUGAGAAGCAUGACUUUGAUCUCUACACUCUGUCACUACUAUUUCGAGUAUUGAGACAGCAUGGAUUCAAAAUGCCUUGUGGUGAGCGCAUGCUUCCAGUACUUCAUAGCCUUUCAAACCUUACUUAACAUCUCCAAAAUUAAUUCUUUGACACUAUGAGAGCAUUAAUUAAUUCCAGAGGAAAAAUUAAUUCUUGGACAGUACUUUAAACUCUGCUAAAUCUUUCUUUCAUUGACAAGAAGUAAUCUAUGGUAUUAUUAAAAAAAUGACUAGAACAGUAAAAUUAUUCUUUCAUGAAUCAGUUGUGUUCGACAAGUUCAAGGACACCAAUGGAGAGUUUAAGAAAACAAUCAUCAACGAUGUUAAAGGCAUCCUGAGCUUGUAUGAAGCUUCGUUUUUAAGUGUGCAUGGUGAACAGAUACUGGAUGAUGCCCUAGUUUUCACAAAGGCAAACCUGGAGUCUUCGGCUAUGCAAUCAAGCCCACGUCUAGCAGACCAUAUUAGGAAUGCUUUGAUCCGGCCCUUUCACAAAGGCGUACCAAGAAUAGAGGCUAGAAAAUACAUCUCUUUCUACGAAGAAGAGGAGUCUCGGAAUGACACUCUACUCAAGUUUGCCAAGAUAGAUUUCAAUCGAGUUCAGUUAAUACAUCGACAAGAGCUAUCCAUUCUCUCGAGGUAAGUUAUAGAGAACUAUCAAACUAAGUUUCUAUUGGAAUUUCUUAAUUUACUCGGUUGCUAUUUACAUUUUAGGUGGUGGAAUGAUUUAAAUUUUGCUGAGGAGUUUCCAUAUGCAAGAGAUAGAAUUGUAGAGAUCUAUUUCUGGGCAAAUGGAGUCCAUUUCGAGCCUCAAUAUGCUUUCUCGCGGAUGGUGGUCACGAAAUAUACAAAAAUUGUAUCACUGUUAGAUGAUACAUGUGAUGCAUAUGCAUCUUUCGAAGAAAUACAACAUUUUACUAAUGCAAUUGAAAGGUUUGUUUCUUGUUACCUCAUAACCUUUCUUCUUCUUCUUUUUAUAUGAAUAUCGAAGAAUUAUAUUAAACUGGCCAUCUAGUGGAUGGAAAUCUAGCAAAACAAAGAAAUGAUACAAUAAUAGUUAUGGAAAUCCAGCAAAACAAAGAAAGGAUACAAUAAUGGGUAUGGAAAUCCAGCAAAACAAAGAAAGGAUACAACAAUAGUUAUAGGUACUAAUUACUCCAAUCUGCUGUUUUUCUUCUGGAGAGAAAAAGGGCAAUUACUUGUCCAUGUUUCCGAAAUUCCUUCUUCAAAUCUCUAUAGGUCAGCUAUGUAAUCGUUCGAAGUAGAAUUUGAGAGCCAUUUGUGGGUUAUGAGUCGUUGUGUGAUGGUAUUAGAAAGGAUUAUAGAGGGAUAUGGGUGGGUUCUUUUGAAUGCUAGAGGUUAAGGUGUCAGGAGCUUUGGAUAGUAGGCUUUAAAAAGAAGAAGAUGAAGAAAAGCUGGGAGUUUAAAGAUGGUUCUAAGCCUUUGUAAACGUUGUGAUGUCUAAGAUUACAGGAUAAUAACAGAAGCUGGUAGAGGUUUGAGCGGUUUGUGGGUAGGACGUUGGCAGGUAGGAAGAAAUAAAAAAAGAAAAGUUUUGAUUCUCUAAUGGUCAUUUAGUCGAACACAUGAAGGGUGUGUUGAAUGAAUGGAAGAGGGGAGACUGGGUUACCUUUUAUGAAGAACAAAAACACAGAGAAAGAAGGGGUGAAAACCAGACAGGAACGGAGGAUGAGCAGAGGGGUGCGGUCAUAGUUGGGUUACACAAACCCAGUUGGGUUCACUGGAUAUGGACAUCCACUGUGAUUUUUAAGUUACCUCAUAGCCUUUCUCUUCUAAAUCGUACAAAGAUGUUCAAGAAAUGAUACGUGAUUUUCUGUCUCAAUUUCAGAUGCUGCAUGGAUGCCAUCGAUCAACUACCUGCCGAGUACUUGAAAGUUCUUUACAGAGCUCUUCUGAAUCUUUUCAGUGAAACUGAGAGUGAUAUGGGAAAACAAGGACGAUCCUAUGCCUUAUAUUACGUGAAGGAGGCAGUAAGAAUAUUUCUCCAGGCUCAUGCAUUCCUUUUCUAUUUCUAGCAUAAUACAUUCUGUUUUAUUUGUAUGCUAUUAGUUCAAAGAAUUGGCGAGAGCCUACCGAGUGGAGGCGCAGCGGGCAGAUGAAGGCCAUGUCCCCACAUUUGAUGAGUAUGUGCGCAAUGGAUUAACCACAAGUGCUUAUGGGGUAAUUACGGCAGUAUCCUUCGUUGGAAUGGAUGAAGUUGCAGGACAGGAGGAGUAUAAAUGGCUAAAAAGUAAUCCAAAAAUUAUGAAAGCUGGAAAGAUGAUUUGUCGUUUAGUGAAUGACAUAGUGGGCCAUGAGGUAUGAUAUUUAAAUCCCAACAAAAAAAUAUUAGAUAUAUUGAUAAUGGAAUUCUCAUUUACCAUUUAAAUAUAGAACCUAUUUUGAAAAGUAUUACAUUCUUUUUAAUUUAUUUAUUUUGAUUUGUUUUAUAUAAGGGUUUUUAUAGUUUUAUAAUUUGAGUUGUGGAUUUAACAGAUUAAUAUAGAUUACUCAAGAUCGAUCCAAUAUAUUGCUAUUCUAAUUGUUUUUUUAAAAUAUUGUCUUGUUAUUUUUUUUAAUCAAAUUAUAUUUUUACUAGUAGUUUGAGUUGUCUUUGAACUCAUCAAAUUGACGAUCAUGUUACAUUAGAUAAGCUUAUAUGUAUAGUUUUUUUAAAAAAUUACUAAAAAAAAUUUAGCAAUACCUAGAUAUUUCUUCUGUAUAUUAUAAAAAAUUUAAUUUGAUAUGCAGCUUAGCUCAAGUCACCAAUCUAGCAGAGAAUUUAUUUUGAAAAGUAUUCACAAAUUCUAUCUUUUAAGUAAACUAGUUCAGCUUAUGAUAUACUGAAUUGUUUCUCCUAGAUUUUUCGAUUUUUUAAUUUUUUGCAUCAGCAAAAUUGAACCAGGGCUCUACUCAUGACUAUUCCUGUCCUUUUUUUUUUUGUGUUUUGAAUUUGUCAUGCUAAGUUUCUUUUUUAACCAUUAUAAUCCUAUAUUGGUUUGAAGGAUGAGCAGAAGAGGGGAGACUGUGCAUCCGGUGUUGAAUGCUUCAUGAAACAAUAUGAUGUCUCGGAAAAGAAAGCAAUCGAAGAGAUACAAAAGAUGGUCGCAAAUGGAUGGAAGGACAUCAAUGAAGAUUGCAUGAUGCCAACUAAUGCCCCAAUGCUUCUCCUUCAACAUAUUGUUAACCUUGUUCGAGUUACCGAGGUUACGUAUGGGCAUAAUGACGACGCCUACACAAUCCCACUAAGUUUAAAAGAUUCUGUCACUUUAUUAUAUGUUGAGCAAGUGCCUAUGUGUGAAUAAUGGGGUAGAAUUCUUACGUUGAGCUCUUUGUGAAUGUUGCUGAAUGAAUGUAUUGUAAUAAAACGAGCAGGUACUGACUAGCUCGUGAACAUUAUAAUUUCUAAGAUAGACUAUAAGUGUGUGUGGAUAUGUGUGCUUUUUUUCCUCAUAUAUUUAUUGAAUGUAAGAGUUUAGUUUGAAUUCUGCUUUUUAAGAAAGUUAAUUAAUCUUCUUGUGAGUUAUUUAUUCUAAAUUUUAUAUUACUUAUGUAUUUAUUUCAU
rnacentral:lncRNA from 1 species